rnacentral:rRNA from 1 species
AGAGUUUGAUCAUGGCUCAGGAUGAACGCUGGCGGCGUGCCUAACACAUGCAAGUCGAACGGAGCUACUUCGAAGGAGACUCGGUCAACGGAAGGGUAAGCUUAGUGGCGGACGGGUGAGUAACGCGUGGAGAACCUGCCCUGUACUGGGGGGAUAACAGUGAGAAAUCACUGCUAAUACCGCAUAAGCGCACGGUACCGCAUGGUACUGUGUGAAAAAACUCCGGUGGUACAGGAUGGCUCCGCGUUGGAUUAGCCAGUUGGCGGGGUAACGGCCCACCAAAGCGACGAUCCAUAGCCGGCCUGAGAGGGUGAACGGCCACAUUGGGACUGAGACACGGCCCAGACUCCUACGGGAGGCAGCAGUGGGGAAUAUUGCACAAUGGGGGAAACCCUGAUGCAAGCGACGCCGCGUGAAGGAAGAAGUAUCUCGGUAUGUAAACUUCUAUCAGCAGGGAAGAUGAUGACGGUACCUGACUAAGAAGCCCCGGCUAACUACGUGCCAGCCGCUGC